GCCAGGCAUGGUGGUGCAUGCCUGUAAUCCCAGCUACUUGGGAGGCUGAGACAGAAGAAUCGCUUGAACCCAGGAGGCUGAGGUUGCAGUGAGCCAAGAUCGUGCCACUGCACUCCAGCCUGGGUGACAGAAAGAGACUCCGUCCCAA
rfam:Pan troglodytes isolate Yerkes chimp pedigree #C0471 (Clint) chromosome 3, whole genome shotgun sequence.